UCCGCGCUUAUCCAAUUAUUUGAUCUUACGAUCGCCUAAUCUUCUAAGCCUUUGGGGACUGACUCAAUGAUUCCUAGAACGAUCUAUGCCUCAUCGUUCUCACAUAGUGGGCCUUGGACAAUGGGGAGUGUAAAAACCCUGGUGUGCCCAUGGCCUCUUUUCCUUUUCCAAGGGAAAACUCUGCCAUCACCUUUCGGUCCACUAUUUUGUAAGUGAUUCCACAUAUCGUUUCUACUAUGACUUAGGAAGAUCCUUGUCCCUCUUGGGCCAGGGGUUCCUAAUGGACAUGAUUUUUAGAUCAGUCCAUGUACCAUACAUGCUAGACCUUUGCCAUUGAUAGGUUUGGGUUCUAUUUUUAAUUGAACCCUCCCCUAUCGCUAGCCUACCAAUUACAUGUUAUUUGUUCCUACCAAAUUUAGGUUGCAACAAGCAGUUUAAUUAAAUAUAACAGAAAAUAAAACAGCGAUUAACUUGGGGCAUUUCCCCCCCCCCGCCAUUCCAGCCUUGUGCCAUCCUUUGUUCCUGAGUUG
rnacentral:lncRNA from 1 species